rnacentral:rRNA from 1 species
UUAAACUAGGAUUUAGUACCCUAUUAUUCCUACCUAAAAUUGCCAGGGUAGUAAAAGACGGUCUUCAAACCCAAAGAAUUUGACGGCAUCUCAUUCUAAUCAGAGGAACUUGCCCCUUAAUCGAUAAUCCUCGUUAUACCUUUCCUUUUUUUUGUUUGUAUACCGCCGUUGUCAGAUAAUUUUUAGAAAACAUUAUCUAAUAUAAAAGAAAUAAUAACUUCAGGUCAAGGUGCAGCUUAUAAAAAGGUGGUGGUGAGUUACAAUAACUAUAAGUUAAACGGACAGUCUAUGAAAUAAUGGCUAGAAGGUGGAUUUGAAAGUAAAAUCAAUUUAGUAAAUUGAUUUGAAAAAAGCUCUGAGAUGUGUACACAUCGCCCGUCGCUCU